GAUGAACGCUAGCUACAGGCUUAACACAUGCAAGUCGAGGGGGCGAGCGCAGUGGUAGCAAUACAUGGGCGGCGACCGGCGCACGGGUGCGUAACGCGUAUCCAACCUUCCCGUUACUCAGGGAUAGCCUUCCGAAAGGGAGAUUAAUACCCUGAUGGUGGUUCAAAUUCCGCAUGUUAUUUGAACUAAAGAUUUAUCGGUAACGGAUGGGGAUGCGUGACAUUAGGUAGAUGGCGGGGUAACGGCCCACCAUGGCGACGAUGUCUAGGGGUUCUGAGAGGAAGGUCCCCCACACUGGAACUGAGACACGGUCCAGACUCCUACGGGAGGCAGCAGUGAGGAAUAUUGGUCAAUGGUCUGACGACUGAACCAGCCAUGCCGCGUGAAGGUCACGGCCCUAUGGGUCUUAAACUUCUUUUGUAAGGGAGCAAUAAGUCUCACGUGUGGGAUGAUGAGAGUACCUUACGAAUAAGCAUCGG
rnacentral:rRNA from 1 species